AUCGAACGCUAGCGGGAUGCCUUACACAUGCAAGUCGAACGGAGUGGCGAACGGGUGAGUAAUGUAUCGGAACUUGCCCAGUAGCGGGGGAUAACUACGCGAAAGCGUAGCUAAUACCGCAUACUAUUGGAGCGGCCGAUAUCGGAUUAGCUAGGUGGGGGGGUAACGGCUCACCAAGGUGACGAUCCGUAGCUGGGUUGAGAGGACGACCGGCCACAAUGGGACUGAGACACGGCCCAGACGCCUACGGGAGGCAGCAGUAGGGAAUUUUGGACAAUGGAGGAAACCCUGAUCCAGCAAUCCCGCGUGGGCGAAGAAGGCCUUCGGGUUGUAAAGCACUUUUGGCAGGAAAGCGGUACCUGCAGAGUAAGCACCGGCUAACUACGUGCCAGCAGCAGCGGUAAUUC
rnacentral:rRNA from 1 species